AACGCAUAUGGCGCCCGAAACUCCGGUUGAGGGCAUGCCUGCCUCAGCGUCGUCUCAACCCCCUCACCGACUCCUGUUUCACGACAGGAUCGAUCGGUGGAUCUGGCCCUUCCUGUAACCAAGGAUCGGCUGAAGAGCAAGCGGCCCGGCGUUUCAGUCGGCACCAGUGGUGGUGGCCCCGUGCCUCCCCUUUGGACCGGCUGUCUCAGUCACAGGCCCGACUGGCAACAGUCGCAAACCCCCAUCAAAGAAUCGACCUGAGUUCAGGCAAGAGCACCCGCUGAACUUAA
rnacentral:misc_RNA from 1 species